AAACCAACAGGGAUUGCCUUAGUAACGGCGAGUGAAGCGGCAAAAGCUCAAUUUGAAAUCGCUUUGGCGAGUUGUAAGUAAAGUGGUUAGACGCUUUUUAAUAAGUCCCUUGGAACAGGGCGCCAUAGAGGGUGAUAGCCCCGUAUUAAAUUGUCUAGUGUGCUACUUUAGAGCGAGUCGAGUUGUUUGGGAAUGCAGCUCAAAUAGGUGGUAAACUCCAUCUAAAGCUAAAUAUUGCUGGGAGACCGAUAGCGAACAAGUACAGUGAUGGAAAGAUGAAAAGCACUUUGAAAAGAGAGUGAAAUAGCGUGUGAAAUUGUUGGAGGGGAAGGCGAUGGUAGGAAUAAGAGGCUGCGGUUUGAAAUAAAUGUUUUUCGGGCCACGGUCUCCUGAGCCUGCUUUCGCAC
rnacentral:rRNA from 1 species